rnacentral:rRNA from 1 species
UACAGAGGAUGCAAGCGUUAUCCGGAAUGAUUGGGCGUAAAGCGUCUGUAGGUGGCUUUUUAAGUCCGCCGUCAAAUCCCAGGGCUCAACUCUGGACAGGCGGUGGAAACUACCAAGCUGGAGUACGGUAGGGGCAGAGGGAAUUUCCGGUGGAGCGGUGAAAUGCGUAGAGAUGUGGAGGAACACCGGUGGCGAAGGCGCCUUGCUGGCCGACUUCUGACGCUGAGGCGCGAAAGCGUGGGGAGCAAACAGG